GCAUUAAUGGGGUAGUGGUAACCUGGGUCGUUGCCAUUAAUAUUGGGUUCUAAGCUCGACCCGCCGGGGGUUCGAUUCCCCCUUAAUGCA